UUGUAUUACCGAAGAGAAAUCUUGUCAGGUCGAUAGCUCAAUGUUGAUUUUAUUAAAUUAAGUGUAUGUUAAGUACACCACUUGAGUUGGGAAGAGACUAGAAAUAGUCUCUUUUCUUUUUAUG
ncrna:unclassified sequences DTF3800-I RNA